AUUGAACGCUGGCGGCAGGCCUAACACAUGCAAGUCGAGCGGUAGAGAGGUGCUUGCAUCUCUUGAGAGCGGCGGACGGGUGAGUAAUGCCUAGGAAUCUGCCUAGUGGUGGGGGAUAACGUUCGGAAACGGACGCUAAUACCGCAUACGUCCUACGGGAGAAAGCGGGGGAUCUUCGGACCUCGCGCCAUUAGAUGAGCCUAGGUCGGAUUAGCUAGUUGGUGAGGUAAUGGCUCACCAAGGCGACGAUCCGUAACUGGUCUGAGAGGAUGAUCAGUCACACUGGAACCUGAGACACGGUCCAGACUCCUAC
rnacentral:rRNA from 1 species